rnacentral:rRNA from 1 species
AGCUCGUGUCGUGAGAUGUUCGGUUAAGUCCGCUAACGAGCGCAACCCUCGCUGUGUGUUACAAGUGUCACACGGUACUGCCGAUAUUAAGUCGGAGGAAGUGGGGAUGACGUCAAGUCAGCAUGACCUUUAUAUCCAGGGCUACACACACGCUACAAUGGCCAGUACAAUGGGUUGCCAAGCCGCGAGGCGGAGCCAAUCCUAAAAAGCUGGCCUCAGUUCAGAUUGCAGUCUGCAACUCGACUGCAUGAAGUUGGAGUUGCUAGUAACCGCAGGUCAGCAAUACUGCGGUGAAUACGUUCCCGGGGAUU